AGUGAACGCUGGCGGUAGGCCUAACACAUGCAAGUCGAACGGCAGCACAGUAAGAGCUUGCUCUUACGGGUGGCGAGUGGCGGACGGGUGAGGAAUACAUCGGAAUCUACUUUUUCGUGGGGGAUAACGUAGGGAAACUUACGCUAAUACCGCAUACGACCUACGGGUGAAAGCAGGGGAUCUUCGGACCUUGCGCGAUUGAAUGAGCCGAUGUCGGAUUAGCUAGUUGGCGGGGUAAAGGCCCACCAAGGCGACGAUCCGUAGCUGGUCUGAGAGGAUGGGCGGCGAGAUGGGGAAGGAGAGACGGGCAAGACUCCGAAGGGAGGCAGAAGGGGGGAAUAGUGAAGAAUGGGGGGAGGUAUGAUGCAGCGACGGAGAGGGAGGGAGGGAGGCCGACGGCUUGUGAACCGCGUUCGCCAGAGAAGAAGGCCUGCCUCGUUUGUGGGUGGGUUGACGGUAGCUGGAUAAGAAGCGCCGGCGAACUACGUG
rnacentral:rRNA from 1 species